UGAGCACAGGAGGUAAAGUGUAUGUGCCCUGCAAUGCUGUGGAACUCCGUACUGGGCUGGUACCUCAGAACUGUGAGCUAGAGUAAGCAGUAUUGAUAAUGUAUGGAUAACUAAUGUUAAGUUACAUCUUUCACACAAAUUGCUCCCUUUAAUGUUUGCGUUCAAUAAUAGCAUUUUAAGAGCCGAUUGGGUGCUGCCCCACAACAGUAAACGCUUUUUUCAUACAUCUUUGCAACUUUUACUGCAGUAAAACGGCGAUAACACAAGUACUCACAGGCCUGCACCGUUUAAAUAAAUAAAUAAAAGGAAGUAACAGUGGGCAGGUCCUUGUAAGACAAUGCAAGUAAUCCAUCAGCCGCAGGCUGGAGUGAUCGCACGAGCCAGAAAAGGCAGAUGAACUCAUCCUUUCCUGACUCACAUUCCCGGCUGAGACAGCGUUCCCCGUAGACCUGCGCUCAGCAUGUUAGCGCUCCACGUCUCAGCGGAGGUGUAUAAGGAAGGACUGAGCAGGGAGAACGCGGGCACAUGCCCCGGGAACCCAACAAAGCCACCCUGAUGCCGUUCCUUUAAUUAUUUUGCCAGGGCACCUAGGCUGCACGUCUCACACACGAGACUCCCACCUACGUCAAACACCCGCCCUCCCGCCACCGCCUUCGAGAAAUGGAACGCUCCCGUGCACCCAGCUGGGGAUUUCGAGGAGCAGAAAAGGCACACAGAAUAAUUAGAGGGGUCCUUCAGGCACUCGAGAGGGGCGCCUCGCUUCCUGAUGGGAGUAUCGCUUCGGCUUUCUCCGUAUCAGGUGAAUGAACUUACUACAACUGCAGUCAUGCUGGAAAUGCAGCUGAGGUUCUUGGGUCUGACGGUCCUCGUGUUUGGAACCUGCAACAUCAGUACAUUUACAGUACCCUCUUUGAAAGAACGAAGCACCGCCGCCAUGACCGUACCCAGAAGACCAUUGAUCCUACCCACUUCUGGGUUCAUUUCUUACCUCUGGUCCGCUCCUGAUGACGUCAAUUACCCAUCUACCAUCACGACUUCCCCAUCAAUUUCAUCACUUCCUGUCUGUCACUAUAAAUUG